rnacentral:lncRNA from 1 species
AGAUCCACACCGAAAUUCUGAUCUUUUCUGUGAUUCUAAGAGCUCAAAUUUGUGUAAAGUCCUAAAGUUCUCCUCUUUUCUGUUCUUCAAGUCUUGAGUUGUAAAGAGAGGAGAGAAAGGAUCUGUAAAGGUUGUCUCCUGAGCCUGUCAAAAGGAGAGAAACUGUAAAAGGGCAGUUGGCCUUCGCCUAUUGAAGGAAGGCCCCUAGUUGACG